rnacentral:rRNA from 1 species
CCUACGGGAGGCAGCAGUGGGGAAUAUUGCACAAUGGGGGAAACCCUGAUGCAGCGACGCCGCGUGAGUGAAGAAGUAAUUCGUUAUGUAAAGCUCUAUCAGCAGGGAAGAAAAUGACGGUACCUGAGUAAGAAGCCCCGGCUAACUACGUGCCAGCAGCCGCGGUAAUACGCCGGGGGCAAGCGUUAUCCGGAUUUACUGGGUGUAAAGGGGGCGUAGACGGGGCGCCAAGUCCGGAGUGAAAUGCGGCAGCUUAACUGGGGAACUGCUUUUGAAACUGGCGAACUAGAGUGCGGGAGGGGUAAGCGGAAUUCCUGGUGUAGCGGUGAAAUGCGUAGAUAUUAGGAAGAACACCGAUUGCGAAGGCGGCUUACUGGACCGUAACUGACGUUGAGGCUCGAAAGCGUGGGGAGCAAACAGGAUUAGAUACCCGAGUAGUC